GGAUGCGAGGGCGAUCUGGCUGUGAAGUCUGUCACCCCAUCGAUCACCAGGGUUGAUUCGGGUGAUCUGGCUGGCUAGGUAGGUGUCCCCUUCCUCCCUCACUGCUCCAUGUGUGUCCCUCCCGAAGCUGCACACUUGGUCAAAGAGGACAGCAAUCCCCGAGAGACGAGGACCAGUCUUCAGUCAAGGGUAUACGAGUAGCUGCACUCCCCUGCUAGAACCUCCAUACGAGCUCUCAAAUUAUCUCUAAUUUCUCAAUUUUUCUAUAGUGAAUUGUGUGUUACCUUUGUAGCAAAAAAUUGUAAAUAACAAUAAAGAUUACUGC
rnacentral:snRNA from 1 species